rnacentral:rRNA from 1 species
CCGGCUAACUUCGUGCCAGCAGCCGCGGUAAUACGAAGGGGGCUAGCGUUGCUCGGAAUCACUGGGCGUAAAGGGCGCGUAGGCGGCCAUUCAAGUCGGGGGUGAAAGCCUGUGGCUCAACCACAGAAUUGCCUUCGAUACUGUUUGGCUUGAGUAUGGUAGAGGUUGGUGGAACUGCGAGUGUAGAGGUGAAAUUCGUAGAUAUUCGCAAGAACACCGGUGGCGAAGGCGGCCAACUGGACCAUUACUGACGCUGAGGCGCGAAAGCGUGGGGAGCAAACAGG